UCGGGUAUGGUGUAACGGCUAACAUUGCCGCCUCUCAUCAAUUACUUAGUAGAAAUUGCUCGCUGCAGCUCGGGGUUCGAUUCCCCGUACCCGAA